rnacentral:rRNA from 1 species
UACGUAGGUGGCAAGCGUUAUCCGGAAUUAUUGGGCGUAAAGAGCGCGCAGGUGGUUAAUUAAGUCUGAUGUGAAAGCCCACGGCUUAACCGUGGAGGGUCAUUGGAAACUGGUUGACUUGAGUGCAGAAAAGGGAAGUGGAAUUCCAUGUGUAGCGGUGAAAUGCGUAGAGAUAUGGAGGAACACCAGUGGCGAAGGCGGCUUCCUGGUCUGCAACUGACACUGAGGCGCGAAAGCGUGGGGAGCAAACAGG